rnacentral:misc_RNA from 1 species
GAUGAAGAACGCAGCGAAAUGCGAUAAGUAAUGUGAAUUGCAGAAUUCAGUGAAUCAUCGAAUCUUUGAACGCACCUUGCGCCCUUUGGCCAUUCCGAAGGGCAUGCCUGUUUGAGUAUCAUGAACACCUCAACUCUUUAUGGUUUUCCAUGAUGAGCUUGGACUCUGGGGGUUUUGCUGGCUCACAGUCGGCUCCUCUAAAAUGAAUCAGCUUACCAGUGUUUGGUGGGUAUCAUGGGUGUGAUAACUAUCUACGCUUGUGGUUUUCUGCCAGGUAACCUCCAGUGAUGGAGGUUCGCUGGAGCUCACAAAUGUCUCUCCUCAGCGAGGACAGCUUUUUGAACGUUUGAUCUCAAAUCAGGUAGGACUACCCGCUGAACUUAAGCAUAUCAAUAAGCGGAGGA